rnacentral:rRNA from 1 species
UUCUAUAGCCAUGCCACCAUACAAGCCCCCAAUCCCAUCUGAUCUUGGAAGCUAAGCUGGAUUGGGCCUAGUUAGUACUUGGAUGGGAGACCACCUAGGAAGACUGGGUGCUGUAGGCG